rnacentral:rRNA from 1 species
AUUGAACGCUGGCGGCAGGCCUAACACAUGCAAGUCGAACGAGUGGCGGACGGGUGAGUAAUGUCUGGGAAACUGCCUGAUGGAGGGGGAUAACUCCUGGACACGGUAGCUAAUACCGCAUACCCUCAGAUGUUCCCAGAUGGGAUUAGCUUGUUGGGGGGGUAACGGCUCACCAAGGCGCCGCUCCCUAGCUGGUCUGAGAGGAGGACCAGCCACACGGGAACUGAGAGACGGUCCAGAGUCAUACGGGAGGCAGCAGGGGGGAAUAUUGCACAAUGGGCGCAAUCCUUAUGCAGCCAUGCCGCGUGUAUGAAGAAGGCCUUCGGGUUGUAUAGUACUUUCAGCGGGGAGGCGUUACCCGCAGAAGAAGCACCGGCUAACACCGUGCCAGCAGCCGCGGUAAUAC